rnacentral:rRNA from 1 species
GAUGAACGCUGGCGGCGUGCCUAAUACAUGCAAGUCGAGCGAGCAGACGAGGUGCUUGCUCCUCUGACGUUAGCGGCGGACGGGUGAGUAACACGUGGUUAACCUACCUAUAAGACUGGGAUAACUUCGGGAAACCGUAGCUAAUACCGCAUAAUAUAUCGAACCGCAUGGUUCAAUCGUGAAAGUAGGUUUUGCUUUCACUUAUAGAUUGAUCCGCGCCGCAUUAGCUAGUUGGUUAGGUAACGGCUUACCAAGGCAACGAUGCGUAGCCGACCCGAGAGGGUGAUCGGCCACACUGGAACUGAGACACGGCCCAGACUCCUACGGGAGGCAGCAGUAGGGAAUCUUACGCAAUGGACGAAAGCCUGACGGAGCAACGCCGCGUGAGUGAUGAAGGUCUUCGGAUCGUAAAACUCUGUUGUUAGGGAAGAACAAAUGCGUAAGUAACUGUGAACGUCUUGACGGUACCUAAACAGAAAGCCACGGCUAACUACGUG